rnacentral:rRNA from 1 species
GAUGAACGCUGGCGGCGUGCCUAAUACAUGCAAGUCGAGCGAACAGACGAGGAGCUUGCUCCUCUGACGUUAGCGGCGGACGGGUGAGUAACACGUGGAUAACCUACCUAUAAGACUGGGAUAACUUCGGGAAACCGGAGCUAAUACCGGAUAAUAUAUUGAACCGCAUGGUUCAAUAGUGAAAGACGGUUUUGCUGUCACUUAUAGAUGGAUCCGCGCCGCAUUAGCUAGUUGGUAAGGUAACGGCUUACCAAGGCAACGAUGCGUAGCCGACCUGAGAGGGUGCUCCGCCACCCUGGAGCUGAGACCCGGUCCAGCCCCCUGCGGGGGGCAGCGGUGGGGAUUCUCCCGCAGUGGGGGAAAGCCUGACGGAGCAACGCCGGGGGGGUGAUGAAGUUCUGCGGUUCGUAAAACUUUUUUUUUGGGGAAAAACAAAUGUGAAAGUAACUAUGCCGGUUUUACGGGAACCUAUACAGAAAGCCCCGGCAAAUUCCGG